GGUCCAGUGGUUACGAUACCAAGCUGAAAACCUAGGGGUCGCAGGUUCGAACCCAU
rnacentral:tRNA from 11 species